rnacentral:lncRNA from 1 species
UUAAUAUCUUGAAUAUUAUUAUAGAUAGAGAUAAACUGUAAACAGCAAUAAUGUUCAUCAAAGUAAGAUUUACAAAUAAGUCAACAUGACCGAAAUGGUCAGUUGACCCCUUUAGGAGUUAUUGCCCUUUAUAGUCAAUUUUUAACCAUUUUUCGUAAAUCUUAGUUAUCUUUUACAAAAUUCUUCUCCUCUGAAACUACUGGGCCAAAUUAAUUCAAACUUGGCCACAAUCAUCUUUGAGGUACCUUGUUUGAAAAGUUUGUCCGAUGACCUGGCCAUCCAACCAAGAUGGCCACCACGGCUAAAAAUAGAACAGGGGUAAAAUGUAGUUUUUUGCUUAUAACUCUGAAACCCAAAUCAUUUAGAGGAAAUCUGACAAGGAGUUAAAUUGUUAAUCAAGUCAAUAUAUAUCUGCCCUGAAAUAUUCAAAUGAAUUGGACAACCGGUUGUUGGGUUGCUGCCCUCCAAUUGGUAAUUUUUAAAGAAAUUUUGCUGUUUUUGGUUAUUAUCUUGAAUACUAUUAUAGAUAGCUAUAAACUGUAAACUGCGAUAAUGUUCAUCAAAGUAAGAUCUACAAAUAAGUCCACAUGACCUAAAUGGUCAAUUGACCCCUUAAGGAGUUAUUGCCCUUUAUAGUCAAUUUUUAACAAUUUUAAUUAAUUUGGUAAAUUUAUGUAAAUUUUUACCAAAUAUUUUUCUCUGUUACUAAUGGGCAAAGUUCAUUAUAGAUAUAAUUGUAAGAAGCAAGAAUGUUCAGUAAAGUAAGAACUUUAAACACAUCACCAUCACCAAAAUACAAUUUUGUCAUGAAUCCAUUUGUGUCCUUUGUUUAAUAUGCACAUAGACCAAGGUGAGCGACACAGGCUCUUUAGAGCCUCUAGUUUUAUGAAUAGAUAAAACCUUUUUGUUUAUUCAUCAAACAUUGAAAAUAGCUUGUCAAAUUUAUUCAUAAGGUCCAGUUUUAUUUUCUUUCCUUUCGCCAUUAGUGGUGUUAUUAUGAAAAAACAAACUUUUGUGAGCGAUAGUUCAUUUAUUUGUUUUGUUUUGCAUUAAAUGUUCUUUUGUUAGUCCGUCUGUCUGUUCGUCCAUCUGUCCUGCGUAAGGUUAAAGCUUUUAAUCAAGGUAGUUAUUGAUGAAGUUGAAGUCCAAUCAACUUGAAACUUAGUACACAUGUUCCCUAUCGUAUGAUCUUUCUAAUUUUAAUAUAAGAAUAAGAGUUUUGACCCCAAUUCCACAGUCCACUGAACAUGGAAAUGAUAGCGCGAGUGGGGGAUCCGUGUACUAUGGACACAUUCUUGUUUUGAAAUCUUUUUUAUAUACAGUAUUUUCAUCAUUAAAGAAUUAAUCAUUAUUGUUGAUACAUGUUUUUGGUUUGUAUUGAAUUUUUCAUUAACAAAUGAAUGAGACGUUCAGAUCAUAUCACACUCAUUUUUAUCAUUGUACAGAUAAUAGACUACUUUCGAGUUAUGUCCUUCACUUCAAACGUUCUUCAAUUAUGCUUGCCUUUAUAAUGUCAUUUACCAGAUAGAGGAAACCGCCUGUUUCCCUGCACUAUCAAGUUCUCCAAGCAUCUUUGGGAUUGUCUUUAUGCAGGAUAAACUAAAAAUAAUGUUUGUUCCAAAGGUUUUUAAUCACAAUUCCAUAAUGACAGCAGUGCUGAUAACCAAUUAUAAGAAUUUAAUUUGCCGAAAAUUUGUGCAAUAUAUAUAAGAUCAUAUUUGUUCAAUCGCAUGGGAAGGAAGUAACGAUACGAAUGAUGUCAAUUAAAACCUAAUUUUUUACGGAAAUGCAUGAACUCGAAAAUGGUCGAUUGACAGAUUUUAGGACUAUCAUUGUAUAGAAAAUUGUCAGAAUAUAGCACUGUCAUUUUACAUAUAACUGAGAUGUUAAAGCACUAUCAUUGAACAGAUAACUGACAGAUUUUAUCACUGUGAUUGUACAGAUAACUGACAGAUUUUAUCACUAUGAUUGUACAGAUAACUGACAUAUUUUAUCACUAUGAUCAUUGUACAUAUAACUGACAUAUUUUAUCACUAUCAUUGUACAGAUAACUGACAUAUUUUAUCACUAUGAUCAUUGUACAUAUAACUGACAUAUUUUAUCACUAUCAUUGUACAUAUAACUGACAUAUUUUAUCACUAUGAUUGUACAGAUAACUGACAUAUUUUAUCACUGUGAUCAUUGUAAACUGACAUAUUUUAUCACUAUCAUUGUACAGAUAACUGACAUAUUUUAAUCACUAUGAUUGUACAGAUAACUGACAUAUUUUAUCACUGUGAUCAUUGUAAACUGACAUAUUUUAUCACUAUCAUUGUACAGAUAACUGACAUAUUUUAUCACUAUGAUUGUAAAUAUAACUGACAGAAUUUACCAUUUUGUUUUAUUGUACAUAUAAUAACUGACAGAUUUUAUCCCUAUCAUUGUACAUAUUAUUGACAUAUUUUAGCACUGACAUUAUUGAGACAAUCAAUAAUUUAAAAUCAUUCAGGCUUCUGUUUUCAAUUUAUAUAUCUUUAAAAUAUAUUGUGUAAUGUUUUUUUUACUUUAUAUGAUAUGUAUAAUGACUUAUGUGAUUGGUUUAACUAUCAUUUGUUAUCAUUUGUGUAAGUUCAUUAGCAGUCUUUUUUGAGAAAUAAAUGA